rnacentral:rRNA from 1 species
UACGUAGGGGGCAAGCGUUGUCCGGAUUUAUUGGGCGUAAAGAGCGUGUAGGCGGCCUGAAAGGUCAGCUGUGAAAACUCGAGGCUCAACCUCGAGACGUCGGUUGAAACCAUCUGGCUAGAGUCCGGAAGAGGAGUGUGGAAUUCCCGGUGUAGCGGUGAAAUGCGCAGAUAUCGGGAAGAAUACCCGUGGCGAAGGCGGCACUCUGGGACGGUACUGACGCUGAGACGCGAAAGCGUGGGGAGCGAACAGG